rnacentral:sRNA from 1 species
GCAGUAGUGUUUACAAUUAAUGAUCACAACUAGUUACAGUUUGCUUUGUUCUUUCUCUACUCCUGCUGCUUCAC